CAAUACUCUAAAGUUGUACAUUUAACAGAGGAGGCAAUUACAAAAUGUUACAGGAACAAUAGGUCGAUGAAGAACUUGCUCGGUUCAGAGCAAAAAAAACCAUAAACAAAACCUUCAGUUAUCACUACAUACUGUAUUUACUCUAAUCUAAUGCGCCAUGGAAUCUAAUGCGCACCUCAAUUUUCAAAACUGGGAAGCUGAAUUUAUUUAUUUUUGCUGGCGAAUGUAAUGUGCAUUUCUACAAGAAGAUUCUACUAUACAAUAUUGUGCUAUAAUGAAAAUAUUUAUUGCCAUAUACCAUAGUAACGUUGAUGGUAUUUCAAUUUUAGUCUACUCUUUCUUAAGCUCUCUUUCAGGUAUAAAAUUUGUCUGUGUGAAUUCGCCGGAAUUAAAUUCACCUGCUUGAAUUCUUCAGUUUGAAUUAGUUUGUUUCAAUUCAUCUGUUUCAAUUAGUUUCAAUUUGUUUGUUCGAAUUUACCAGUUUUAAUUCGCUAAUGUGAGAUUUGAGAAUCUCGAAUUUUGCCGCAAAUGAAAUGCGUCAUCGAAUGUAAUGGGCAUUCAAAUUUUGAAAAUUGUAUUUUCCAAAAAAGGUGCACAUUAGAUUUGAAUAAAUGCAGUAUCUGUUCAACCGUAAGUCAACUCUUUCAUAUUAAAUGCACUCACACUUACUAUAUAUCUUUUUGUUCAGGAG